rnacentral:rRNA from 1 species
UUAAGCGACUAAGCGUACACGGUGGAUGCCCUGGCAGUCAGAGGCGAUGAAGGGCGUGCUAAUCUGCGAUAAGCGCCGGUAAGGUGAUAUGAACCGUUAUAACCGGCGAUACCCGAAUGGGGAAACCCAGUGUGAUUCGUCACACUAUCAUUAACUGAAUCCAUAGGUUAAUGAGGCGAACCGGGGGAACUGAAACAUCUAAGUACCCCGAGGAAAAGAAAUCAACCGAGAUUCCCCCAGUAGCGGCGAGCGAACGGGGAGGAGCCCAGAGCCUGAAUCAGCAUGUGUGUUAGUGGAAGCGUCUGGAAAGGCGCGCGAUACAGGGUGACAGCCCCGUACACAAAAGCGCAUGUGCUGUGAGCUCGAUGAGUAGGGCGGGACACGUGGUAUCCUGUCUGAAUAUGGGGGGACCAUCCUCCAAGGCUAAAUACUCCUGACUGACCGAUAGUGAACCAGUACCGUGAGGGAAAGGCGAAAAGAACCCCGGCGAGGGGAGUGAAAAAGAACCUGAAACCGUGUACGUACAAGCAGUGGGAGCCCCACCACCAAAGCAUUUGCUGUACCGCGUUGACGGAGCGAAGCGACGUCAAACCGAUAAAACAGCAGUGUAAAGUGAGCCGCAGGGCGCUUUGCGCGACAGCGCAAAGGCAGGCGGUUUCGCGUAGCGAAAGCGAAUGCUUUGGGGUGGGGUGACUGCGUACCUUUUGUAUAAUGGGUCAGCGACUUAUAUUCUGUAGCAAGGUUAACCGAAUAGGGGAGCCGGAGGGAAACCGAGUCUUAAUUGGGCGUUAAGUUGCAGGGUAUAGACCCGAAACCCGGUGAUCUAGCCAUGGGCAGGUUGAAGGUUGGGUAACACUAACUGGAGGACCGAACCGACUAAUGUUGAAAAAUUAGCGGAUGACCUGUGGCUGGGGGUGAAAGGCCAAUCAAACCGGGAGAUAGCUGGUUCUCCCCGAAAGCUAUUUAGGUAGCGCCUCGUGAAUUCAUCUCCGGGGGUAGAGCACUGUUUCGGCUAGGGGGCCAUCCCGGCUUACCAACCCGAUGCAAACUGCGAAUACCGGAGAAUGUUAUCACGGGAGACACACGGCGGGUGCUAACGUCCGUCGUGAAGAGGGAAACAACCCAGACCGCCAGCUAAGGUCCCAAAGUCAUGGUUAAGUGGGAAACGAUGUGGGAAGGCCCAGACAGCCAGGAUGUUGGCUUAGAAGCAGCCAUCAUUUAAAGAAAGCGUAAUAGCUCACUGGUCGAGUCGGCCUGCGCGGAAGAUGUAACGGGGCUAAACCAUGCACCGAAGCUGCGGCAGCGACACUGUGUGUUGUUGGGUAGGGGAGCGUUCUGUAAGCCUGCGAAGGUGGCCUGUGAGGGUUGCUGGAGGUAUCAGAAGUGCGAAUGCUGACAUAAGUAACGAUAAAGCGGGUGAAAAGCCCGCUCGCCGGAAGACCAAGGGUUCCUGUCCAACGUUAAUCGGGGCAGGGUGAGUCGACCCCUAAGGCGAGGCCGAAAGGCGUAGUCGAUGGGAAACGGGUUAAUAUUCCCGUACUUGGUGUUACUGCGAAGGGGGGACGGAGAAGGCUAUGUUGGCCGGGCGACGGUUGUCCCGGUUUAAGCGUGUAGGUGUGUGUUCCAGGUAAAUCCGGUUCACUUUAACACUGAGGCGUGACGACGAGGCACUACGGUGCUGAAGCAACAAAUGCCCUGCUUCCAGGAAAAGCCUCUAAGCAUCAGGUAACAUCAAAUCGUACCCCAAACCGACACAGGUGGUCAGGUAGAGAAUACCAAGGCGCUUGAGAGAACUCGGGUGAAGGAACUAGGCAAAAUGGUGCCGUAACUUCGGGAGAAGGCACGCUGACACGUAGGUGAAGUGAUUUACUCAUGGAGCUGAAGUCAGUCGAAGAUACCAGCUGGCUGCAACUGUUUAUUAAAAACACAGCACUGUGCAAACACGAAAGUGGACGUAUACGGUGUGACGCCUGCCCGGUGCCGGAAGGUUAAUUGAUGGGGUCAGCGCAAGCGAAGCUCCUGAUCGAAGCCCCGGUAAACGGCGGCCGUAACUAUAACGGUCCUAAGGUAGCGAAAUUCCUUGUCGGGUAAGUUCCGACCUGCACGAAUGGCGUAAUGAUGGCCAGGCUGUCUCCACCCGAGACUCAGUGAAAUUGAACUCGCUGUGAAGAUGCAGUGUACCCGCGGCAAGACGGAAAGACCCCGUGAACCUUUACUAUAGCUUGACACUGAACAUUGAGCCUUGAUGUGUAGGAUAGGUGGGAGGCUUUGAAGUGUGGACGCCAGUCUGCAUGGAGCCGACCUUGAAAUACCACCCUUUAAUGUUUGAUGUUCUAACGUGGACCCGUUACCCGGGUUGCGGACAGUGUCUGGUGGGUAGUUUGACUGGGGCGGUCUCCUCCUAAAGAGUAACGGAGGAGCACGAAGGUUGGCUAAUCCUGGUCGGACAUCAGGAGGUUAGUGCAAUGGCAUAAGCCAGCUUGACUGCGAGCGUGACGGCGCGAGCAGGUGCGAAAGCAGGUCAUAGUGAUCCGGUGGUUCUGAAUGGAAGGGCCAUCGCUCAACGGAUAAAAGGUACUCCGGGGAUAACAGGCUGAUACCGCCCAAGAGUUCAUAUCGACGGCGGUGUUUGGCACCUCGAUGUCGGCUCAUCACAUCCUGGGGCUGAAGUAGGUCCCAAGGGUAUGGCUGUUCGCCAUUUAAAGUGGUACGCGAGCUGGGUUUAGAACGUCGUGAGACAGUUCGGUCCCUAUCUGCCGUGGGCGCUGGAGAACUGAGGGGGGCUGCUCCUAGUACGAGAGGACCGGAGUGGACGCAUCACUGGUGUUCGGGUUGUCAUGCCAAUGGCACUGCCCGGUAGCUAAAUGCGGAAGAGAUAAGUGCUGAAAGCAUCUAAGCACGAAACUUGCCCCGAGAUGAGUUCUCCCUGAGACUUAGAGUCUCCUGAAGGAACGUUGAAGACGACGACGUUGAUAGGCCGGGUGUGUAAGCGCAGCGAUGCGUUGAGCUAACCGGUACUAAUGAACCGUGAGGCUUAACCUU